GUUGACGUAGCUUAAACACAAAGCAUGGCACUGAAGAUGCCAAGAUGAAUCGUCAAAAAUUCCGACAACA
rnacentral:tRNA from 1 species